rnacentral:rRNA from 1 species
AUGCUGAGCACGAUAGGCGCGCCACAGAGAUGCGUGAACCCAUGAUCCGUGAUGGCGGCGUACACAUCCUUGGCGUCGACGCGGUGGAGACAGAUGUUGGUACCGCCGCCGACGGCCAUUCCCCAAGGGAAGCGCCACCCAUUGGCGUGGAACAUGGGCAGUGUCCACAUGAACACCAGGCGCGGCGGCACUGCCCAGUCCACCAGCGACACCAUGGUCACCAAAAAGAUCCCAAGAUGGCAGUGCAUGACCCCCUUGUAGGCGAAAAGAAUCCCCUGCCGUACGGCACCCAGUCGUUCCCUCACCGACAUGUGGGCCCGCCAGAAACCUGGCCCACAUGUCAGUGGGCCAACAGCAGAGGCCGUACGUCAGAGGAGCCGUUCCCCUUGUAGGGUGGCUCUCAUUUUCUUAGAAAUGCUAGAAGCACAUGGUUAG